rnacentral:rRNA from 1 species
CCUACGGGAGGCAGCAGUGGGGAAUAUUGCACAAUGGGGGAAACCCUGAUGCAGCGACGCCGCGUGAGUGAAGAAGUAUUUCGGUACGUAAAGCUCUAUCAGCAGGGAAGAAAAUGACGGUACCUGACUAAGAAGCCCCGGCUAACUACGUGCCAGCAGCCGCGGUAAUACGUAGGGGGCAAGCGUUAUCCGGAUUUACUGGGUGUAAAGGGAGCGUAGACGGCAGCGCAAGUCUGGAGUGAAAUCCCAUGGCUUAACCAUGGAACUGCGUUGGAAACUGUGCAGCUAGAGUGCAGGAGAGGUAAGCGGAAUGCCUAGUGUAGCGGUGAAAUGCGUAGAUAUUAGGAGGAACACCAGUGGCGAAGGCGGCUUACUGGACUGUAACUGACGUUGAGGCUCGAAAGCGUGGGGAGCAAACAGGAUUAGAUACCCGAGUAGUC